rnacentral:misc_RNA from 1 species
UUUUUUUUUUUUUUUGGGAAAUAUAGAAUGUUAAUAUCUGCAAUGAUUGUAACUUGAGCAUUUUGGUUUGGGUAGGGCUACAGAGAGCCCGACCAAUAUGUGGAAGGAAUUGUUGACUGUUGGAUGAUAGCAUUAUGAAGAUAUGAGCUCUUAUAAAUUAUUGUUCAACACUUUAAUCAUUUAAUAAAAGCCAUAAACAACACUUUUUUUUUUUAAAAAAAUCUCUUAUUCUUCUUCAAAGUUGUGCAGCGGGAUGAGCUUUUA